ACCUCCCAUCCGUGUCUAUCUGUACCCUGUUGCUUCGGCGUGGCCACGGCCCGCCGGAGACUAACAUUUGAACGCUGUCUGAAGUUUGCAGUCUGAGUUUUUAGUUAAACAAUCGUUAAAACUUUCAACAACGGAUCUCUUGGUUCCGGCAUCGAUGAAGAACGCAGCGAAAUGCGAUAAUUAAUGUGAAUUGCAGAAUUCAGUGAAUCAUCGAGUCUUUGAACGCACAUUGCGCCCCCUGGUAUUCCGGGGGGCAUGCCUGUCCGAGCGUCAUUGCUGCCCUCAAGCACGGCUUGUGUGUUGGGCUUCCGUCCCUGGCAACGGGGACGGGCCCAAAAGGCAGUGGCGGCACCAUGUCUGGUCCUCGAGCGUAUGGGGCUUUGUCACCCGCUCCCGUAGGUCCAGCUGGCAGCUAGCCUCGCAACCAAUCUUUUUAACCAGGUUGACCUCGGAUCAGGUAGGGAUACCCGCUGAACUUAAGCAUAUC
rnacentral:rRNA from 1 species